rnacentral:rRNA from 1 species
UACGUAGGGACCAAGCGUUGUUCGGAUUUACUGGGCGUAAAGGGCGCGUAGGCGGCGUGACAAGUCACUUGUGAAAUCUCCGGGCUUAACUCGGAACGGCCAAGUGAAACUGUCAUGCUAGAGUGCAGAAGGGGCAAUCGGAAUUCUUGGUGUAGCGGUGAAAUGCGUAGAUAUCAAGAGGAACACCUGAGGUGAGGACGGGUUGCUGGGCUGACACUGACGCUGAGGCGCGAAAGCCAGGGGAGCAAACGGG